CGCAGCCCGGGGGCAGCACUGGCCGGUCCGCUACCGGGUCAUGGGUCAAAGGGUGAUGAGGCACUAAAACAGGUUCCCCAGAGAAGCGGUGGAAGCUCCAUCCCUGGAAUGGUUCAAGGGCAGGUUGGAUGUAGCUUUGAGCAGUCUGGUCUACUGGAAGGUGUCCCUGCCCAUGGAAGGGGGAUUGCAAGAAGGUAAUCUUUAAGGUUCUUUCGAACCCAAACCAUUCUGAGAUUCGAUGUUUUUUGCACAUGGGCCUCUUUUGCUGGAAGGACAAUCCAUUUGCAAGGACACAGUAAAUCCAAAGUCCAUACAGUACUGUACCAAAGGAUUAAAGUCUUCACUCUUCAAUACCUUCUUACUCAACCUCGCUAAUUUGGUUCUUCUGAAUUUCAACCAGAAAUCAACCAGAGAUCAUUCACAUAUUAUUACAGGACUGUUCCUCUUUGUUCCUCUAUUUUGAGCAAAUAAUGGCUCAGGUGUCUCUCACUGAUAUAUUGCUGACUGAGGACUAGUCUUCUAUACUGCUUAUAGAAGAAAUUUCCCUUAGAUACCCAAUUUAGCAUGGAAAAAAAAAAAAUCCAUUUAAGGGCCUUCAGGAGGAUCAAGACAUAAAAGUAGAUUCUAUGAUUCUACUUAUCAAACCCACAGCAAUGGUAUUAAAAUGUAGGUUUAUGACCCCUUCCUCAGUAUUUAUUAAUUAACACUCCAGACUAAUUUUGACAGAUAAAUAUGCAGCACCCAACAAGUAUAGAUCACAUGGUAAGAGACACAAGCAUCCAUCCAUACAAUAGUCCAACAAUUGUGUUUCAUUUUAUACAGAUAACUGAGACCCGGACAUUGCAACCAGCUUCUGAUUUACGUUUCACCAGUCCCCUUUCACAUUCUGAGCCAAGAGCAGUAGCGUCUUUAAGGCUUUUGAUAUUAGUUGCAGUGUUCAGAUUCUUCCCCAGCAAAUAGAAAAAUUGCAGUAAUUUAGAGAAUUAAGCAUAAGAAGAAAUAAUCUUCAUAUGCUGCCAGAUGGUGCUUUCCUAACCUACCCAGGGCUAUUUUUCUCAUGCAGAGGCUCAUGGCUGUAGCCACUCCCAGAUGGCACACACUAAGAGUGGAACCCCAGAAGCUGCACAGGGAAUUGCUGAAAACCAAAAAAGCCCAGAGUUACCAAAGAUUUUGCCUUCUCCUUGGGGCAUGAGUGCUGGCAGCUCUGAAUCUCCUGGGGCCUGGAGAUGACUGUCACUGUCCCUCCUGCUGUCUGCUGCUGCUUUUGCACUGAGAGAGCAGUGAGGUCUCAGCCUUGCCACUGGUGCCACACUCCUGGGACACAAACAAGAGCAAAUGCAAAUGACAGCACAGAACUGUCCUCUCUGCUGACUGCUGCAUCCUGAAAAGCCAAAUCAUUUAUUUUGUAUUUCCUUUGGGUCUGUCCAGGUGGAGAUUGCUGACCCUGCUGUGAUUCCCUCUGCUCUCCGACGUUUUCAGUGCCACUUGUGGUCACUUCAAAGGGGGCUCAACCCUGUGAAAAACGAGGUUCACUCUUUAUAAAAUUUUAAGAAAAGUUUAAUAAAAGGGACAAUUAGGAGGCAACAGCAAAAAGGAUAUUACGGCCGGGUGCUUUGACAGAGCCAAAGGCACAGUUCUACAUCCAAAAGAUCAUCUUUAAAGUACAUCGCUUACUGCAUAUUCAUCACCAUCAUACAUAAUUCAUAAAUUCUUUAGAGUUUCUAAGUAUCAUCCCAUAAGCCUUAUCUUCCUCCUUGGCUCCAUUCCAUCUCUGCCCUCUCCAUCAAUUCUUCUCUCUGGUUUCGGGUCUUCUUCUUCUCUGAUAAGAUGUUCCAGGAAUGUGAAGAGUCUCUCUGCCCACCUUCUCCAAACCGACUACAUAAACAAUAGACGAUCUAUACCAUGCAUUACAUCAUAGAACCUAGGCAAAGUUUCUCCAACAUUAAGUAACAUGCAAAAAGCCAACAUCACAAUACAUUCAUAACAAUUAUAUAACAUGCGAAAAGCCAGUAUCAUAAUACAUUUAUAACAACCCCAUGCCAUGUGCUCUGCAUUCCCUAUGUUCUCAUUCCCAACUGUUUUGCUUUUGCAACUUCUGCAGUUCUGCAGCAGAAUGGCAAGUGCCAUUUGGGUUUGGGUUUUUUUUUGUCUUUUCUCCUUCCAUAUUUUCUUGUUGGGAAACGGAUCCCUCACUAAAUCUAUUAAAACCUGGUCUCUUCCAUGGACUUGUGUAUCUGCAGCAGGGAUCUUUCCACCAAGCAAUGUUGCUGCACUCUCAGCAUUUGCUUUAGUUUACACAGCUGUUAGCAAUAAGUGUGUGUGCCUUGAUCCCCAGGCAUGAAAGCAUCAGAUCCAGGAAGGAAAAAAAAAAGGUAUUACAGUUUUGCUUGGGUUUCUUUUUGGUCAUUGACUUUUUCUUUUGUGGACAGGUCCAAGCCCUAAAGCAUGAAACACAUUGCAGGACCCCUCAGCAGUGUCUGUCCUCCUGCAGUUACUUACACAAGGUGCCGCAGGCUCCAGCCUGUUUAUUUCUGUGGGACAGCCACCAUCACUUACUACCCACUUACUGAGAUGUGCUCCCAUGUUCAACCCCUUGGUUUACUAAGUGGAAGCUACUGUAGAAUUAUGCCUGCGAGCAACUGCUUCUUACUCUCUUAAUGCCCAGCCACACUCAAUGCCUGAGUCAUGCCAGUCUUUAUUUUCGGGAAUAACCACACUCCAUGCACAUGCGUGCUUAGUUUAGGGCUCUCUUAUUUAUGCCUCCAGGACAAAGCCACUAGAUGUGCCAUCACAUUCAACGCUUUGAUGGGGUUUUUUAAAGCUUACUGAGCAUACGUGACCUGCUAAUUGGGUGGAUUUUCAUCGCUGCAGAGAAUAACAACCACCUCUCACAAAGCCCCAUCUACCUGCUGGAUUUCCACUUUCUACACCAAGCCAAUAUUAGCAACACUUGGAACAAAGCCCUAAGUGUGGGAUAUGCGCGGCCCCUGCCCUGGAGAGAGGCCUGCUGAUAAUGAGGUUGCACAACCUCCUAGCAGAAUCCCCUUGGAAAAAGCAGCACUCUCAGUUACAGCGAGAGAGGACACAGACCCAUGAUCCUCUGGGAGACCCUAUGUAGGUUCUUUGUAACCCAUUGGCUUUUACCCUCUCACACCCACCCCUGUACCCCUAGAAUAUAUAUAUGUGCCCCUGUGAGACCAGAGAACUUGUCCCUAGCCUCCCUUUGCGAGGUGCGGGCUAAUAAAGCUGCCUCAUGCGGAACUGCUA